rnacentral:snRNA from 2 species
GGAUGUAAGGUGAUCUGGUUGCAACAUCUGUCACCCCAUUGAUUGCCAGCAUAUUGGCCGAUCUGGCAAAUUAGAUGAGUAUGUCCUUCCCUCAUGGCUCCAUGUAUGUCCCCAGAAGCUGUAUACUUGAUCAAAAAGGAAGACCUUCCUAAUAGAGGAGGACCAUUCUUUGGUCAAGGUUAUAUGAGUAGCUGCGCUACCCUGCUAGAACCUCCAAACAAGCUCUCAAGGUCCAUUUGUAAGAGAACGUAGGGUAGUCAAACUUCCAAGACUCCAGACAUAUCUAAAUGAGGCACUGCAUGUUGCAGUCUGCCUUUCUUA